rnacentral:rRNA from 1 species
AUUGAACGCUGGCGGCAGGCCUAACACAUGCAAGUCGAGCGAGCGGCGGACGGGUGAGUAAUGUAUGGGGACUGCCCGAUAGAGGGGGAUAACUACUGGAAACGGUGGCUAAUACCGCAUACUAUCGGAUAACCCAUAUGGGAUUAGCUAGUAGGUGGGGUAAAGGCUCACCUAGGCGACGAUCUCUAGCUGGUCUGAGAGGGUGAUAAGCGACUCUACGAGGGAGACACGGCCCAGACGCCUACGGAGGCAGCAGUGGGAAAUUUUGCACAAUGGGCGCAAGCAGGAUGCAGCCAGGCCGCGUGUAUGAGGAAGGCCUUAGGGUUGUAAAGUACUUUCAGCGGGAAGGCGUUACCCGCAGAGGAAGCACCGGCUAACUCCGUGCCAGCAGCCGCGGUAAUAC